UGGCUUGCUCGGUGUUGGAUCUUGUGUCUAUAAAAUGAGCUGCUCGUAAUGCUUAAAUAAUCGUUUCUACUGCAGUUUUUUUUUAAAGAUAUUAUGUUAGCCAACUACAAAUAUGUUGCUACUGCUCUCAAUAACAUUGCUGCCCUGAAUUUAUCAGGCACAUCGACAAAGUGGAACACAAUGGGCCAAACAAGCUGUGCAAACUAAACGGAAACAACACAGGAUGUCUUAUAAAAGAGGUUGCAGUCGGCCGUGAAGCUUUCAUCCAUGUAUACAGGACUGCUGUUAUCCCCCUCUCUCUCUGCCCAGUGGCUGGGCCUGAUGCCUGCUCUGGCUGCUGGAGUGGAUACCUCUGGUCUCUCUGCCAAUCCAGAGGUCCAAUCCGAGAUCAAACGUUUACGCUUCACCUCCCUCGGGAGAUGGAUGGCUGCCUAAGACGGGUCCUGUUCUGACACAUUCCCCCCAUGGACCUGAGCCCUAGGACCAUGCCCCAGGACUACCUGACAUGAUGACUCCUUGCUGUCCCCAGUCCACCUGGCCAUGCUGCUGCUCCAGUUUCAACUGGCCUGGGCCCUAGGACCAUGUCCCAGGACUACCUGACAUGAUGACUCCUUGCUGUCCCCAGUCCACCUGGCCAUGCUGCUGCUCCAGUUUCAACUGUUCUGCCUUACUAUUAUUCAACCAUGAUGGUCAUUUAUGAACAUUUGAACAUCUUGGCCACGUUCUGUUAUAAUCUCCACCCGGCACAGCCAGAAGAGGACUGGCCACCCCACAUAUGCUCUCUCUAAUUCUCUCUUUCUUUCUCUCUCUCGGAGGACCUGAGCCCUAGGACCGUGCCCCAGGACUACCUGACAUGAUGACUCCUUGCUGUCCCCAGUCCACCUGACUGUGCUGCUGCUCCAGUUUCAACUGUUCUGCCUUAUUAUUAUUCGACCAUGCUGGUCAUUUAUGAACAUUUGAACAUCUUGGUCAUGUUCUGUUAUAAUCUCUACCCGGCACAGCCAGAAGAGGACUGGCCACCCCACAUAGCCUGGUUCCUCUCUAGGUUUCUUCCUAGGUUUUGGCCUUUCUAGGGAGUUUUUCCUAGCCACCGUGCUUUUACACCUGCAUUGUUUGCUGUUUGGGGUUUUAGGCUGGGUUUCUGUACAGCACUUUGAGAUAUCAGCUGAUGUACGAAGGGCUAUAUAAAUAAAUUUGAUUUGAUUUGGAGAGGUGCAUUGCUGCGGUGCUCCACCAACCUUCCGUCAAAAAAAUGUAUCUAACAUAAAUCAUGUAGCAGAUAUAGGACAUGGUAGAAAGAAUAUUUGGCCUUUACUGUAGGCUACAGGCUGGAGACAAAAUGUAUGACAAUGUAAUGAGAUGAACACUUUUUAGAUCAUGCAGGUUUCUCUGAUCAAAUAGCCUAAAGAAAGAAACCUUUCAUAUCAUGCAGGUUUUUCCGAUCAAAUAGCCUAAAGAAAGAAACCUUUCAUAUCAUGCAGGUUUCUCUGAUCAAAUAGCCUAAAGAAAGAAACCUUUCAUAUCAUGCAGGUUUUUCCGAUCAAAUAGCCUAAAGAAAGAAACCUUUCAUAUCAUGCAGGUUUCUCCGAUCAAAUAGCCUAAAGAAAGAAACCUUUCAUAUCAUGCAGGUUUUUCCGAUCAAAUAGCCUAAAGAAAGAAACCUUUCAUAUCAUGCAGGUUUCUCCGAUCAAAUAGCCUAAAGAAAGAAACCUUUCAUAUCAUGCAGGUUUUUCCGAUCAAAUAGCCUAAAGAAAGAAACCUUUCAUAUCAUGCAGGUUUCUCCGAUCAAAUAGCCUAAAGAAAGAAACCUUUCAUAUCAUGCAGGUUUCUCUGAUCAAAUAGCCUAAAGAAAGAAACCUUUCAUAUCAUGCAGGUUUCUCCGAUCAAAUAGCCUAAAGAAAGAAACCUUUCAUAUCAUGCAGGUUUUUCCGAUCAAAUAGCCUAAAGAAAGAAACCUUUCAUAUCAUGCAGGUUUCUCCGAUCAAAUAGCCUAACCACAUUGUCAUGUUAUUAUUAAACAACAUCUCCUAAAAACAGGACAGGCCAAAGUAAAAUGGACAAUAUGGAAUGGACAAUCACAACUGUUGUCCAGGAGUUCACCCCAUUGUCAUGAUCAGUGGUUUCAAGUUUGUAUCUGUCCAUUUUUGACAAGCUAUCAUAGCGAAAAAUUAAAUACUUCUGCAUUUGAUAUGCAUGAUAACUUCGGUAGCUGAUAUUCAGAGCUUAAAUAGCCAAAUUGAUUAGUUACAGGAAUCAGGACUAAGAAAGCCAAUGCAGUGGCCUUUUACAAAUGGUGAGCCUACCACAUUGACGGAAAUUCCAUUGUGGGCCGCCAUGGUAGGCUACACCCCAGUUAGCAGGAGACAAUGUCUAUUUUAUGUUCCUUUCCAGACAGGACGCCUUUUUUUGUGUUUUACAAAACGGUAGGCUUACCACAGAUGGGCAUUCAUAAAAUUAUAUUUCAGGCAACACUGUAGGUUACACCUCAGUAAGCACGGUCUGACUCGGAUGCCUUAUGGAGAUCUUUUUUUGGUGCAGUCCGGACUGACCUUGAUUUCCACAUUCACGGACAUUGGUUUUUGGUCCGGUCUAUGACGUCUAUGUUUGGUUUAGAUUUUGUGCAGUCUGGACCAGCCUUGAUUUGACUCAAACAUUGACGUCUAUAAAUAUUGUGUUUUCAACUUUCAUUCAGAAUCUAAAAUGAACCUGACUUUAAUGUCUGAAAAAUACAUAAUUUUCAACGUCCGUAAAACGUAUGGAAAAUACGUAUUUUCAACUUUUAUUCAGAACCUAAAUUGAACCUAACUUCAACUUCUGGAGUCUUUAAACAUAAUUUUUCUUACUGGAAGUAUUCUAGUUUUGCGGGGGCAGCAUUUUUUGGUCUCGCCUAGGGCGGCAGAACAGCAAGGACCAGCCAGUUGUGCUAAAUAAAACUAACCUGAUUUCAUGGUUGCUAUGUUUAAAUUGAUGUGUGGGUGGUAUUCUAUCAUUAUGCACAUGAGAGAAAUGUACCAUUUGUUGUCAUAUUUUUCAUUCCAUAACUGGUUUAGUAAAGUUCCAUAGUCAACACAAACACACACAUACAGUGGGAAUAAAAAGUAUUUGAACCCUUGGUCAUACAAUUUGAUCUGAUCUUCAUCGAAGUCACAACAAUAUACAAACAAUUAUAAUUUG